rnacentral:rRNA from 1 species
AAACUCAAAGGAAUUGACGGGGGCCCGCACAAGCAGCGGAGCAUGUGGUUUAAUUCGAAGCAACGCGAAGAACCUUACCUGGACUUGACAUCCCUUGCAUAACCUAGAGAUAGGCGAAGCCCUUCGGGGCAAGGAGACAGGUGGUGCAUGGUUGUCGUCAGCUCGUGUCGUGAGAUGUUAGGUUAAGUCCUGCAACGAGCGCAACCCUUAUUAUUAGUUGCUACCAUUAAGUUGAGCACUCUAAUGAGACUGCCUGGGUAACCAGGAGGAAGGUGGGGAUGACGUCAAAUCAUCAUGCCCCUUAUGUCCAGGGCUACACACGUGCUACAAUGAUGGGUACAGAGAGACGCAAGACCGUGAGGUGGAGCAAAUCUCAAAAGCCUAUCCCAGUUCGGAUUGUAGGCUGCAACUCGCCUACAUGAAGUUGGAGUUGCUAGUAAUCGCGAAUCAGAAUGUCGCGGUGAAUACGUUCCCGGGCCUUGUACACACCGCCCGUCACACCAUGAGAGCUGGUAACACCCGAAGUCCGUGAGGCAACCUUUUGGAGCCAGCGGCCGAAGGUGGGAUUAGUGAUUGGGGUGAAGUCGUAACAAGGUAACC